rnacentral:rRNA from 1 species
AACGAACGCUGGCGGCAGGCCUAACACAUGCAAGUCGAACGUGAAGCCAUCUUCGGGUGGCGGAAAGUGGCAGACGGGUGAGUAACGCGUGGGAACGUGCCCUUCGGUUCGGGAUAACUCAGGGAAACUUGGGCUAAUAGCGGAUACGCCCUACGGGGGAAAGAUUCAUUGCCGAAGGAUCGGCCCGCGUCGGAAUAGCUAGCUGGUAGGGUAAUGGCCUCCCAAGGGGACGAUCCGUAGCUGGUCUGAGAGGAUGACCAGCCACACUGGGACUGAGACACGGCCCAGACUCCUACGGGAGGCAGCAGUGGGGAAUAUUUGACAAUGGUCGCAAGCCUGAUCCAGCCAUUCCGCGUGGGUGAAGAAGGCCUUAGGGUUGUAAACCCCUUUCAGCGGGGAAGAUAAUGACGGUACCCGCAGAAGAAGUCCCGGCUAACUCCGUGCCAGCCGCCGCCGUAAAAC